rnacentral:rRNA from 1 species
CCUACGGGUGGCAGCAGUGGGGAAUAUUGGACAAUGGGGGGAACCCUGAUCCAGCCAUGCCGCGUGUGUGAAGAAGGCCCUCGGGUUGUAAAGCACUUUCAGUGAGGAAGAACGCCUGGUGGUUAAUACCCAUCAGGAAAGACAUCACUCACAGAAGAAGCACCGGCUAACUCCGUGCCAGCAGCCGCGGUAAUACGGAGGGUGCGAGCGUUAAUCGGAAUUACUGGGCGUAAAGCGCGCGUAGGUGGCUUGAUAAGCCGGUUGUGAAAGCCCCGGGCUCAACCUGGGAACUGCAUCCGGAACUGUCAAGCUAGAGUGCAGGAGAGGAAGGUAGAAUUCCCGGUGUAGCGGUGAAAUGCGUAGAGAUCGGGAGGAAUACCAGUGGCGAAGGCGGCCUUCUGGACUGAAACUGACACUGAGGUGCGAAAGCGUGGGUAGCAAACAGGAUUAGAUACCCGGGUAGUC